rnacentral:rRNA from 1 species
UGCAGUCGAGCGGACCGACGGGAGCUUGCUCCCUUAGGUCAGCGGCGGACGGGUGAGUAACACGUGGGUAACCUGCCUGUAAGACUGGGAUAACUCCGGGAAACCGGGGCUAAUACCGGAUGCUUGAUUGAACCGCAUGGUUCAAUCAUAAAAGGUGGCUUUUAGCUACCACUUACAGAUGGACCCGCGGCGCAUUAGCUAGUUGGUGAGGUAACGGCUCACCAAGGCGACGAUGCGUAGCCGACCUGAGAGGGUGAUCGGCCACACUGGGACUGAGACACGGCCCAGACUCCUACGGGAGGCAGCAGUAGGGAAUCUUCCGCAAUGGACGAAAGUCUGACGGAGCAACCCCCCGUGAGUGAUGAAGGUUUUCGGAUCGUAAAACUCUGUUGUUAGGGAAGAACAAGUACCGUUUGAAUAGGGGGGUACCUUGACGGUACCUAACCAGAAAGCCACGGCUAACUACGUGCCAGCAGCCGCGGUAAUACGUAGGUGGCAAGCGUUGUCCGGAAUUAUUGGGCGUAAAGCGCGCGCAGGCGGUUUCUUAAGUCUGAUGUGAAAGCCCCCGGCUCAACCGGGGAGGGUCAUUGGAAACUGGGGAACUUGAGUGCAGAAGAGGAGAGUGGAAUUCCACGUGUAGCGGUGAAAUGCGUAGAGAUGUGGAGGAACACCAGUGGCGAAGGCGACUCUCUGGUCUGUAACUGACGCUGAGGCGCGAAAGCGUGGGGAGCGAACAGGAUUAGAUACCCUGGUAGUCCACGCCGUAAACGAUGAGUGCUAAGUGUUAGAGGGUUUCCGCCCUUUAGUGCUGCAGCAAACGCAUUAAGCACUCCGCCUGGGGAGUACGGUCGCAAGACUGAAACUCAAAGGAAUUGACGGGGGCCCGCACAAGCGGUGGAGCAUGUGGUUUAAUUCGAAGCAACGCGAAGAACCUUACCAGGUCUUGACAUCCUCUGACAACCCUAGAGAUAGGGCUUCCCCUUCGGGGGCAGAGUGACAGGUGGUGCAUGGUUGUCGUCAGCUCGUGUCGUGAGAUGUUGGGUUAAGUCCCGCAACGAGCGCAACCCUUGAUCUUAGUUGCCAGCAUUCAGUUGGGCACUCUAAGGUGACUGCCGGUGACAAACCGGAGGAAGGUGGGGA